UCUAGGCACAGAGGCAGUAGUGCAGGGCAAUCCAUGGGCAGCAACAGAGGCAACGAGGUUCUUCCCAGGCAGCAGCUGCUCCCCGGGGACGGAGCAGCCACGGGGUCCUGUUCAGGGGGCAGUGAGGAUGAGGGACAUUCAACACCUCUUCUGGAAGGGCGAGGAUUCUGAAGAUGGGGUGUUGGAGUCCUUCUCAUGGUGGUUGAUCGUUUCUCCUGGGGGCAGCCAGAGAAGCCACAGGGUCCUGUCUGGGGGCAGCGAGGACGAGGGACAUUCAACACCUCUUCUGGAAGGGUGAGGAUUCUAAGCUGGGCGUCCUGGAGUUCAUCUUCCAGUGGACGGUUGUGGUAACCUGGGGGCAGACAGAGAAUCCACGGGGUCCCGUCCUUGGGGCAGUGAGGAAGAGGAC